rnacentral:rRNA from 1 species
CCCAGACUCCUACGGGAGGCAGCAGUGGGGAAUAUUGCACAAUGGGGGGAACCCUGAUGCAGCGACGCCGCGUGGGUGAAGGAGCGUUUCGGCGCGUAAAGCCCUAUCGGCAGGGAAGAAGGAGGACGGUACCUGACUAAGAAGCCCCGGCUAACUACGUGCCAGCAGCCGCGGUAAUACGUAGGGGGCAAGCGUUAUCCGGAUUUACUGGGUGUAAAGGGGGCGCAGACGGCAGCGCAAGCCAGGAGUGAAAGCCCGGGGCCCAACCCCGGGACUGCUCUUGGAACUGCGCGGCUGGAGUGCAGGAGGGGCAGGCGGAAUUCCUGGUGUAGCGGUGAAAUGCGUAGAUAUCAGGAGGAACACCGGUGGCGAAGGCGGCCUGCUGGACUGCGACUGACGUUGAGGCCCGAAAGCGUGGGGAGCAAACAGGAUUAGAUACCCGCGUAU